UCUGUUUUAUGAGAGACAUUUUUUAUCUGAAUAUUUAUUGCUGAUUUAUAUGUAUUCCAAGUUCUGUCAAUCGGACCCAGAACAUUUCACUUUAAUCACAAGCGACUUUGGGCCGUCCUAACCAACGCUGAGAAAAGUAACAGCAUGCAGAGACUGUGGUGAUGGGCAUGUCUUUGAACCAUGGAAAUAUUUCCGAAAAUCAUUUUUCUUUACUCUUGUAAAUGAGAAGCGUAUCGGACAGCCUUGCUAAACCCGUGUUCUCUGUUGCUGAACUGGAAAACAUGACGGUGUCAAAAGCGAUCGCCUGCCACCCGGUGUCCCUUAACUUUGAACGUCUGUGGAGACAGUGCAGGCGAACCUGCCCCUGGGCCCAUCGCACUGGGUUUUGACAUUUGCAUUUGGUAAGCAUCGAAGAGGCCGCGGUUACGCUCUGAAGGGACGGCUGUGAAAAAAAGGUUCGCCUCCCGACGCCGUAGGAAUUAAAACGGAAGAAAUGCAAUUUAAAGACAUGAAGUAAACAAUCACCUAACACUUGUUUCAAGCACGAACACAAUUUCACUGGCCUUGUCCAAUUCCGUCGUAGCCCGGGGCUCAGUGUGUUUUUCUUACAUGUGGUUCUACACCACUGAUUAGAAUGGUAAUGCAGGAACAGAAUC